rnacentral:rRNA from 1 species
UACAGAGGGUGCAAGCGUUAAUCGGAAUAACUGGGCGUAAAGCGCACGUAGGUGGAUUAAAAAGUUUGAUGUGAAAUCCCUGGGCUUAACCUGGGAACUGCGUUGAAAACUGUUAAUCUAGAGUCGGAGAGAGGGCUGUGGAAUUUCCGGUGUAGCGGUGAAAUGCGUAGAGAUCGGAAAGAACACCAGUGGCGAAGGCGGCAGCCUGGUUCCAGACUGACACUGAGGAGCGAAAGCGUGGGGAGCAAACAGG